rnacentral:piRNA from 1 species
GUGCUGGAGAUGUUGAAUGUGGGCUU